GUGCUCCUCUUGCGUCCCUUCUCCAGGCCUCGCUCCUUCACCCAGCCUCCGGUCGACCCCUUUUCCACGUCCCCGGUGGACGCAGCCCUCCGCAGCCUCCACGCCCAUGGCCACUAGCCUGAGGAGGCCGUCUUUCACCACCGGUUCUUCCUCCCCUCCGGACGCGGACGACGAGGGCGUGUGAGGUACUUGGGAAAAUGCUUCUCUGUGCAAGCGGUACCUGCCCGGCGCGGGGUUAGGGGUCGGCUUCCCCUGGGUGCUGGGGCCUAGGUGAGAGGCGGGCCUGUGUCUGAGGAAUGCGCUUUUACGCCAAAAGAGAAGCAUCUUUGCAAGGGCCCAGCUGCCUUGGUAGGGGAAGAAGAACAGGUGGUGAAGGGGGCCUCCACGGGAUAGUGGCCAUGGGCGUGGAGGUUGCUGGGUGCUGCGCCCACCGGGGACAAGGAAGCAGGGUCAAGAGAUGCCGGGGAUAAGAAGCGAGCCCGGGAGAGGGGAGGCGAGAGGAGCAGGGAUACAACCGGUUCAGCUAGCGCCACUCACAGACUACGACCACUGGUAGCUGCUCCAGCAACCUUCCAGCUAACCCACACCUCCCCAACUAGGCUCCAAGGACAAUUUCCCCGCCCCCUCAGCCCACGGAGGUGCCCAUUGGAAAACUCUUUUGGCCCCGCCUACAGAAACCGGAAGUUCUUGGAGAGGGCAAAGUAAACUGAAAUUGACGCAAUUGAGCGCCUGCAAAGCUUUCCGGGAAUUGUAGUCCUGGGCGCUUUGGGAGGCCUCUGGUUUUCUCAUGGCUUGUCAUGAAAUUUUAUAACUGUAAUUAACUCAGGGCAGAAAUGCUGGCAGGAUCCUUAGCAAUGGGGCAAAGGGCAGAGCAUCUAGCGGGAAAAGCAAGUGUCAGUGUUAUAGUCAGUUGGAGCUCAGUCUCAUUCAGCAAUUGAACAAAUAUUUAAGCGCUGGGGCAGGAUCUAGGCCAAGAGCUUAGCACACAAAAUCGCCUUUAAAAUGUUGUGAAGGAAGAAAUGUGUGGAAAACAUAUACCAUGGGAAACUAUGUAACAUCAGAGGCUGAAUUUCAAAAAUACAAUAUUGAGUGAAAGAAGAGAGAGAACAUUUUUUUUUUGUAAACUUAAAUUGAAAGAGAACUAAUGUUAUUUGGAAAAAUAAAUAUAUAUGGUAAAAUAACAUACAGGAUAGUAAAGAAAUGAGGGGAAAAAAUCCAAGCAAAAGUAAUGUUAUUUAGAAAAACACACAUAAAGGGUAAAAUAAUUAAUAAUUAAAGGAAUGAUGCAGAAAACCUGAAAUUAAGCUAUUUGUGACAUUGUGGGAGUGGAGAGUAUAGAAUACUAGAGAAAAGAGAAUGGGGAAGAAGUACACCAAUAAUUUCUCAAGCUGAGGUAGGUUCACAUGUGUUUAUUUCACUAUUAUGCAUAUUCAAGAGGGUCAUCACAUAGACUUUGCUGUAGACUUAUAAAAUAAUUUCUAAAUAAAAUUCCUAAAUGGUUUGCAUACUCCAUUUCAUCAUCUGUCAGGAGCAGGGAAUGGAGGUACUUAAACUUUAAGAACCAAAGGUCUCACACACAAGCAAAAUAAGGAAACAACAACAAAAACCCAGGACAGAUAUAUUGCAGCAAGUUCAGGUAUCAAAUACUGGCUUAGUAGUCAAUGGAGGAGCAAGAGUUCAUUGAUACUCAAAGUAGAAAUCAGGGGGGAAGGUUGAGGUUAGGGAGUUUUGCCAGGGGGAGUGGCGAUGAGAUGAAAUAACACCACUUCUUUGAGUGGUCAUUUGCCAAGAAGGUAAUGCAAACCACUGAAAAAGCAUAGCCUCCCAAGUUGGCAGUGGACACAUUCCCUGGGUGUCAGGGAGCCAAAAGAGGGGGUCAGCAGCAAGGAGUAUAAGGUGUCAAUCCCAUAGAUAUGGAUGGUGAUCCUGAGAGUGGAGGAGUCAGAUGAUACACUUCUGGUGUUUGAUGAGCCAAGCUGUUGUUUGCUGGGCCUUUGGUUCAGAAAAACAUGAUUCAGGGAACUUUGGUCAGUUUUUCACUGAGAGGUCACCCCAAAACCUUCCUGCAGGCAGGGCCAGCUCAUUUCAUUUAGGCUCCUAGUCAAGGGGCUAGAACUUAAUGAUGUAGGAAUGGAGACUGAAAAUGGAAACCUGAGCCAUCUCAAGCUGCAUAAUGCCUCCAAAUAUGAGACUACCCUCGGGGUAGCCACGAACAAUGUCCCAGCCAGAGAAAAGGCACUGACAACUAAUCUGCAUCCUAUGAUAAAGUCAAGAAAAGAGAAACUAUAGUUUAAAAUUCCUGUUGAACAUUGAUUAAUAUUGGGAGCAAAUACCUGGACUUUAACCAUGAAACUUCCUCUUUGCGAGGCUAGAGUGGACAUUUGCUGCUUUGACUAUUUGCUAUUCCUUUCUCCUAUCACAAUGGCCAGAGUUUAUCAUGAAGAAUCCAACUCCUCCUUUAGUCCACCUGGAUGUGGUAAGGCUCCACACCUGACAGUAGUGGUGGAAACUUGCCCAGGCCUGGCCUACCACUCAGAAUAUCGCCCUAGCUGUAUUUCAGGAGUGUGGAUUUCCUGUUGUGGUUCUGUGGGUUAAGCCAUCCACUAGUCUCCAUGAGGAUAUAGGUUCCAUCCCUGGACUCACUCAGUGAGUUAAGGAUCCAGUGUUGCCGCAAGCUACAUCUUAGGUUGCAUAUGCAGCUCAGUUCUGGUGUUGCUAUGGCUGUGGCAUGGGCCUGCAGCCACAACUGCAGUUUGACUCUUAACCUAGGAACUUUCAUAUGCCCCAGGUGUGGCCAUAAAAGGAAAAGAAAAAAAAAAGAAUGAAUCCCAGAAGUUGAAUGGGAUCUUCCAAGUCUAGAAGAGCUCUCUUUCCUGGCAGACUUGAACCCAGGAGGUACCUGUACUACUGGAGCUACUGAGAGCCAUCUUCCUACCUCAUACAACCUGAGAAUGAUGCUAUUGGCAAUGCUAAUGGAGUCUGGAGCACUGUAUGCUCAGUUAGGGGUGACCUGAGUUUGCAGUGUGGGAGCUGAUGGGAAAAUCACCAGAGCCUGUGAUGCUGACCAGUCAGAAGCAGCUGAAUUCAGAAAGAUGCAAUAACAUGUUAUCCAGGAUUUUCAGCUUUCAUCCUGAGCUGAGUGCACCUUCUCCCUCCCCUCCCCUCAUCACCUGGUCACUCACACCACUAUCUUCCUUCUUUGCUGGCCCAGUUUUCCAAGUUUUUGGCCUGAGAUUUCCUCACAAGCUUUCCAUAGCAAUAGCCUUUUGAAAAGGCCAUCUUUCCUCCUUUGAAUUGCUUCUGAACAUUUGUCAGAAAUCAGUGGAAUAAAUUUGUGUGGGAUUGUUUCUGGGUUCCCUGUUUAUUGAUCUAUGUCUGUCCCACUGCACAUACCACACAAUCUGGGUUAUUUAAUAAGUUUUGAAACUGGGUAGAUUGCUCCCACUUUAUUUUUUAAAAAAAUUUUAGCUACCCUAGUUCCCUUAUCUUUCCACAUAAAUUUUAGAAUAGUCUUGUCUGUAUCAAAAAAAAGUCCUACUGGGUUUUGACAGGAGUUGGAAUAAAUCUAUGAAUUUGGGGAGAACUGACAUCUUUACAAUGUUUAGUCUUCCAAUUCAUGAACAUGGUAUAACUCCCCAUUUAUAUAGAUCUUUGAUUUCUUUUAUCAUUGUUGUAGAGUUUUCAGCAUACAAGUCCUGGACAUGUUUUGUUAGAUUCGUACUUAAAUGUUUUAUUUUCAUUAGUGGUUGCAAAUGUAUUUUAUUUUAUUUUUAUUUUUUGUCUUUUUCAGGGCCACACCCACGGCAUAUGGAGGUUCCCAGGCUAAGGAUGUAAUGUGAGCUAUAGCCACAGGCCUAUGCCAGACCCACAGCAAUGCCAGAUCCGAGCCACAUCUGCAACCUAUACCACAGCUCAGUGCAAUGCCAGAUCCUUAAUGCACUGAGCAAGGCCAGGGAUCAAACCUGCAACCUCAUGGUUCCUCGUUGGAUACGUUUCCACCAUGCCACGAUGGGAACUCCUAUAUAUGUAUUUUAAAUUUUGGUGUCAUUGCUGGAACCUACAAAUAAAAUUGAUUUUUUAUAAUGAUUUUUAUUUUUGCCAUUAUAGCUGAUUUGCAGUGUUCUGUCAAUUUUCUACUGUACAGCAAUCUGACCCAGUUACACAUACAUGUAUAUAUUCUUUUUUCUCACAUUAUCAUGCUCUAUCAUAAGUGACUAGACAGAGUUCCCAAUGCUACACAGCAGGAUCUCAUUGCUUACCCAUUCCAAAGGCAACAGUUUUCAUCUAUUAACCCCAAAUUCCCAAUCCAUCCCACUCCCUCCCCCUCCCCAAAAAAACCCAAUUGAAAUUGAUUUUUGUGUUUAUUGUGUAUUACAGAACUCCCCCUCCCCACAUCUAUUCUCCAUGUCCAUGGUUUUCUUUUCUGUGGGAAGGUUCAUUUGUGCCUUAUAUUAGAUCCCAGAUAUAAGUGAUAUCAUAUGGUAUUUGGCUUUCUCUUUAUGACUUACUUCACUUUGUAUGAGUCUCUAGUUCUGUCCAUGUUGCUGCAAAUGGCAUUAUUUCGUUCUUUUUUAUGGCUUAGUAGUAUUCCAUUGUGUAUAUAUACCCCAUCUUCUCAAUCCAAUCAUCUGUCAAUGGAAAUUUAGGUUGUUUCCAUGUCUUGUGAAUAGUGCUGCAAUGAACUUCUACAACUCAACAGCAAAAAAAAAAAAAA
rnacentral:lncRNA from 1 species